AUACAAGGAUAGACAUGGGACUUC
rnacentral:siRNA from 1 species